GGGAUUGCCCUAGUAACGGCGAGUGAAGCGGCAACAGCUCAAAUUUGAAAUCUGGCUUCGGCCCGAGUUGUAAUUUGCAGAGGAAGCUUUAGGCGCGGCACCUUCUGAGUCCCCUGGAACGGGGCGCCAUAGAGGGUGAGAGCCCCGUAUAGUUGGAUGCCUAGCCUGUGUAAAGCUCCUUCGACGAGUCGAGUAGUUUGGGAAUGCUGCUCAAAAUGGGAGGUAAAUUUCUUCUAAAGCUAAAUACCGGCCAGAGACCGAUAGCGCACAAGUAGAGUGAUCGAAAGAUGAAAAGCACUUUGAAAAGAGGGUUAAAUAGCACGUGAAAUUGUUGAAAGGGAAGCGCUUGUGACCAGACUUGCGCCGGGCAGAUCAUCCGGUGUUCUCACCGGUGCACUCUGCCCGGCUCAGGCCAGCAUCGGUUCUCGCGGGGGGGAUAAAGGCCCUGGGAACGUAGCUCCUCCGGGAGUGUUAUAGCCCGGGGCGUAAUGCCCUCGCGGGGACCGAGGUUCGCGCAUCUGCAAGGAUGCUGGCGUAAUGGUCAUCAGCGACCCGUCUUGAAACACGGACCAAGGAGUCAAGGUUUUGCGCGAGUGUUUGGGUGUAAAACCCGCACGCGUAAUGAAAGUGAACGUAGGUGAGAGCUUCGGCGCAUCAUCGACCGAUCCUGAUGUUUUCGGAUGGAUUUGAGUAGGAGCGUUAAGCCUUGGACCCGAAAGAUGGUGAACUAUGCUUGGAUAGGGUGAAGCCAGAGGAAACUCUGGUGGAGGCUCGCAGCGGUUCUGACGUGCAAAUCGAUCGUCAAAUCUGAGCAUGGGGCGAAA
rnacentral:rRNA from 1 species